GUUGUUGUUUAUCAUCUUUCUGGGGUUGGGGAGGGAUAUACUUGGAAUAGUUGUGGUCAGCUUAUCAGUCGUUAAAACUAGUUCUGGUAAAAUAUUUGUGUUUCUUAGAUUUUGAUUAUAACAAAUGUAUGCGAAUUGUUCUGAGGUGCAUAUCAUAAAAGAUUAUGUUUUUAUUCUGGCGCUUUAACCUCUUCAGUUUCAUUCUGGCAUUCGUUUUGAAUCUGUCAUGAACCUUUUUUAUUAUUUAUCUUUAAAUUAAUCGUU
rnacentral:lncRNA from 1 species